CCUACAUCGCUUCGUCAUCGACUUCUGAGCAGAAACACGAAUCGAACGUCAAUCAACACAACCGUGAAUGAAACACCGACCAUCUACAAACCGAUGCUGUUCGUGAAUGACCUUACUCAACGUUUGAGAAAGUCAUUUGAAGCCGUACUUCCCAACAUCACACUGGCACCGCGGUACGAGAACACCACCAGGAGGAUGUUCAACAACAUGAAAGACACCGUACCGAUGGAAAUGAGAAACAAUGUUAUAUAUCGCAUUCCUUGCCACGAUUGCGAUGCGAGCUAUGUCGGGUUAACAACAACCUUACUGAAGCAGAGACUCAGCAGCCACCGUACAACGAUGAAUCAGCUAGAGACACUGCGUAACAACGGCAACAACGAUGCGACGACGGAGUACGAGCUGGAACGGUUGAAGGAAAAGACCGCUUUACUUCAACACAGCAUAGAACACGAUCAUAGGUUCGACCUGGAAAAAACAACAAUAUUGGAUCAACAUAGAAGACAGUCAGCCCUACCAAUCCUAGAAGUAUGUAGCAUCAUAAACACUCCCCGUACAGUAAACAAGAGAUCUGACAUUGACAGUUUAAGUUCAAUGUAUGUAGGAAUCUUACACACACUCAAAAAUCAACAGUCCAACUCAAGAAACACCACCACACACCAAACACACGAAUAGCUAAAAGAUUAGAUCCACACCAGUUACCUCCACUUAUUUCCCACAAUUUGUCCAAACAAUAUCCACCAUCGUUACAUGAACAAAAUGACCGUUGGUUGGAUAGUGAAGGUGUUUCCGAAUUCAGAUAUUUUUAAAAAAACGUUUUUUUUGUUGUUCAGAGAGUAUGUCAAGUGGUAGAAAAUGUGUAAAAAUGUGUAAAAGUCAUUUUAUAAUUUUUGUAGGAUUUUUGCCAACACUUUUUUGGAAAUUUUAGACGGAUCAUGCUAAAACCGAGCCCACAAAACGAGAACGAUUGCAAGUUCUAAUUCCCUGAAGAAGGUGUAAUAAACACCGAAACGUCGGAUGAAGAACGAUA